GAGAAAAUAGUUUAAUCUCGAAAUGAAGACCUAUCUGAUUGAUUUGUUGGUAGUAAUGCUCGGCAUUAUAGUAUGGUACCCAACAGAAAUGAAGCCGGUUGGAAAAUAAAACUUUAAAACAGUUUUCUUCAAAA